rnacentral:rRNA from 1 species
CUGGCGGCGCGCCUAACACAUGCAAGUCGAACGAGAGAUGAGGAGCUUGCUCUUCAAAUCGAGUGGCGAACGGGUGAGUAACGCGUGAGGAACCUGCCUCAAAGAGGGGGACAACAGUUGGAAACGACUGCUAAUACCGCAUAAGCCCACGGCUCGGCAUCGAGCAGAGGGAAAAGGAGUGAUCCGCUUUGAGAUGGACCCGCGUCUGAUUAGCUUGUUGGUGAGGUAACGGCCCACCAAGGCGACGAUCAGUAGCCGGCCUGAGAGGGUGAACGGCCACAUUGGGACUGAGACACGGCCCAAACUCCUACGGGAGGCAGCAGUGGGGAAUAUUGCACAAUGGGGGAAACCCUGAUGCAGCGACGCCGCGUGAGUGAUGAAGUAUUUCGGUAUGUAAAACUCUAUCAGCAGGGAAGAUAAUGACGGUACCUGACUAAGAAGCACCGGCUAAAUACGUG